UCACGAGUCACGCCCGACCCCCUCCUCCUCCUCUCCUCCUCCUCCCGUCCUUCCUCAAAACCCUAGCCGCCGCCCCCCUCCUCCUCCCACCUCAGUCGCCGCCGCCUCCUCCUCCUCCUCCUCCUCCCACCUCAGUCGCCUCCUAGGAGAGCUCGACACGAUGGGGUGGCCGUGGAGCACGCCCCGUCCGGAGAGACAAGGCGGCUCCCGAGCAGGGCAUCCGACAGCGCUGGCUUCUCCUCCCCUACGCCGCCGCUGCCCACCCCUCCUCAUCUCGUGCGGGCACGGAGGUGAGCUUCUCCGAUGGCGGCAGCGACCUGCAGUCAAAGGGCGACGGCGACGGCGCUCGAUUUGAUCUACAGGAGAGAGGGAAGAUGAGACGGAGAGAGAGAAGGAAGGAGAGGAGGUAGAAAUAGAGAGGAAAGAGGAGAGGGAUGUGCGCCAGCCAGCGGGAGAGGGUCACCGGAAGGAACAACUGGUCAUUGUUCACACCGCGCUAGGCCAGAGAUGGCUCUGUACUGCCCACACGUAUGCAG
rnacentral:rRNA from 1 species